rnacentral:misc_RNA from 1 species
GAUGAAGAACGUAGCGAAAUGCGAUAAGUAAUGUGAAUUGCAGAAUUCAGUGAAUCAUCGAAUCUUUGAACGCACCUUGCACCCUUUGGCUAUUCCGAAGGGUAUGCCUGUUUGAGUAUCAUGAACACCUCAACUCUCAUGGUUUGCCAUGAUGAGCUUGGACUUUGGGGGUCUUGCUGGCCUGUGGUCAGCUCCUCUCAAAUGGAUUAGCUUGCCAGUGUUUGGUGGCAUCACAGGUGUGAUAACUAUCUACGCUUGUGGUUUUCCACCAGGUAACCUUCAGCAAUGGGGGUUCGCUGGGGCUCAUAAAUGUCUCUCCUCAGUGAGGACAGCUCUUUGAACGUUUGAUCUCAAAUCAGGGAGGACUACCCGCUGAACUUAAGCAUAUCAAUAAGCGGAGGA